UACGUAGGGCGCAAGCGUUGUCCGGAAUUAUUGGGCGUAAAGGGCUCGUAGGCGGUCUGUCGCGUCGGCUGUGAAAACCCGAGGCUCAACCUCGGGCCUGCAGUCGAUACGGGCAGACUAGAGUGCUGUAGGGGAGACUGGAAUUCCUGGUGUAGCGGUGAAAUGCGCAGAUAUCAGGAGGAACACCGGUGGCGAAGGCGCUCAUCUGGCCCAAUACUGACGCUGAUGCGCGAAAGCUAGGGGAGCAAACGGG
rnacentral:rRNA from 1 species